rnacentral:tRNA from 1 species
AUCAGAUCUAUAUCAAUUAAUUUAAUUAAGUUGUAGAAUAGAUACUCAUACACAAUGCCAGGAACCAGAUUUGAACUGGUGACACGAGGAUUUUCAGUCCUCUGCUCUACCAGCUGAGCUAUCCCGACCAUUUUCGACGCGUCAUCUUCCUCAUUUUACUAAACGACUUGGGUCUAUGUCAAUUAAAAAAAAGUAAAAAAAAGACGAAAAAGUAUUCUAAAAGCCUUAUCCAGAC